ACAAUGAAGAGUUUGAUCCUGGCUCAGGAUGAACGCUAGCGAUAGGCUUAACACAUGCAAGUCGAGGGGCAUCAGGAGUAGCAAUACUUGCUGGCGACCGGCGCACGGGUGAGUAACACGUAUGCGACCUGCCCAUAACAGGGGGAUAACCCGUCGAAAGGCGGACUAAUACCGCAUAACAACAUGAGGCUGCCUGGCUUUAUGUUUAAAGAUUUAUCGGUUAUGGAUGGGCAUGCGUUCCAUUAGGUAGUUGGAGGGGUAACGGCCCACCAAGCCGACGAUGGAUAGGGGUUCUGAGAGGAAGGUCCCCCACAUUGGUACUGAGACACGGACCAAACUCCUACGGGAGGCAGCAGUGAGGAAUAUUGGUCAAUGGGCGAGAGCCUGAACCAGCCAAAUCGCGUGAAGGAAGAAGGUAUUAUGUAUUGUAAACUUCUUUUAUCAGGGAAUAAAGUGCACCACGAGUGGUGUUUUGUAAGUACCUGAAGAAUAAGGAUCGGCUAACUCCGUGCCAGCAGCCGCGGUAAUACGGAGGAUCCGAGCGUUAUCCGGAUUUAUUGGGUUUAAAGGGUGCGUAGGCGGAUUAUCAAGUCAGCGGUGAAAGUUCAGAGCUCAACUCUGAAAUUGCCGUUGAAACUGGUAGUCUAGAGUGUAGAUAAGGUAGGUGGAAUUCGUGGUGUAGCGGUGAAAUGCAUAGAUAUCACGAAGAACUCCAAUUGCGUAGGCAGCUUACUGGGCUACAACUGACGCUGAGGCACGAAGGUGCGGGGAUCAAACAGGAUUAGAUACCCUGGUAGUCCGCACAGUAAACGAUGAAUACUAGCUGUUUGCGAUAUAGUGUAAGCGGCACAGCGAAAGCGUUAAGUAUUCCACCUGGGGAGUACGUUCGCAAGAAUGAAACUCAAAGGAAUUGACGGGGGCCCGCACAAGCGGAGGAACAUGUGGUUUAAUUCGAUGAUACGCGAGGAACCUUACCCGGGCUUGAAUUGCAUCUGAAUAAUGGUGAAAGUCAUUAGCUAGCAAUAGCAGAUGUGAAGGUGCUGCAUGGUUGUCGUCAGCUCGUGCCGUGAGGUGUCGGCUUAAGUGCCAUAACGAGCGCAACCCUCAUCAUUAGUUACUAACAGGUCAAGCUGAGGACUCUAAUGAGACUGCCGGCGUAAGCUGUGAGGAAGGUGGGGAUGACGUCAAAUCAGCACGGCCCUU
rnacentral:rRNA from 1 species